CCCAGCUCUAUUAUUACUGAUUUUUAAAUAAAUUCUGUCGAAUUUUAAGACCCUCUUCUUCUUUGCUGUAAUUAACUCUUUGGAUGGGCGAGGUGCUUUCAGUGGAAUCACCAGCUGUGAAUUCUUCCUUGCCUCUCCCAUCUCACUGCUGGGACUUCAGUGAUGUGCACCCUGGACGGCAUCUUAGGGCUUCAGAGCCUCGAGAGGACACAGAAGAACGGAAAGUACCUAUCAUUUGAUUGGAGCUGACAAUUUCUGCUAUGAAAAGAAACACUGGGAAAGAAGAGGGGGUUUUAUUUUUUAGAAAACUAACUUUGUAAAUUAAAGAAGAAAAGAUUAAUUACUUGGAAA